rnacentral:rRNA from 1 species
ACCAUGAGAGUUGGAAAUGCCCGAAGCCUGUGAGCUAACUUAAAGAGGCAGCAGUCGAAGGUAGAGCCAAUGAUUGGGGUGAAGUCGUAACAAGGUAAC